rnacentral:lncRNA from 1 species
CCAGGCCAGUGGGAGCUGCAGCUUCUCCUGUCCCCAGCGUCCCCCCUGCUCCCCUCCAAACCCAAGCCAGGGAAGAAAUCAAAUAAAGGUGCUCAGCAGCUCUAGAGAAGUGGGACAGAUUAAAUCAGGUUUCAAUUCAGGCCCUGCUUUCUGUGCAGUCACAACAAGGCCAAUGAGGCAUGGGGUCCCUUUUCCAAAAACCCAAACAGAUCCCCUGCAGGCAAUUCCAGACAGGAGCAAAGCUCAGCUUGGCUUUCCUGCUCCCCGAGACUCAGAUCCUGCUGGGAAAUCCAGGAGUGUCCCACAGACCCACAGGAGUGUCCUGAAACCCACAGGAGUGUCCACAGACCCACAGGAGUGACCCACAGCCCCACAGGAGUGUCCCACAGCCCCACAGGAGUGUCCACAGCCCCACAGGAGUGUCCACAGACAUAUUUUAAACACUCUGCCCUCUCCCUUCUUUCCCUCUCUGCCCCAUGCCAGGCUGAUCCCAUUUAUUUAUUCACAUUUUAAACACUCUGCCAGCUCCCUUCUUUCCCUCUCUGCCCCAUGCCAGGCUGAUCCCAUUUAUUAAUUCACAUUUUAAACACUCUG